GCAAUCACUUGGAAGGCUGCAAGUAAUCAGAAAACGUCAGCUAUUCUAGUAAAUAGUUGUGGGACGCAUCCGCACACCAUAUGAUAGUGCACAUGUCUUCUCAAACUUUUCUUUCAAGUGUCCAGGUUGUUUGGGAUUGUGCUGUCUUAUUUUGCAUUAGGUAAACCAGAUAUGUUUAAAGGAACCUGUUUCUUCAUUGGACCUCCAGCAUAACUUAGAUGAAGUAGGGAACAUUGGUGCAGUACAUAGUACCAUCUUGUGAUAAGUUUAUAUAGCAUUUCUCUUAUUCUAGAAGCUCUCAAUGCUUUAUGGAUAUCCUGUAGGAUCUUUUGUCUUACUGGGGGAGGGAUAAGUACUUUCAAUUCUUGUUCCAAAUCAUCAAAGUAUUUUAGUGAUGCACUGGUUACUGAGAAGCGUUUUAUAUAUUAUUGAGAGCAGUUUA